rnacentral:RNase_P_RNA from 1 species
ACGUUCGGGUAAUCGCUGCAAUCUUUUGAUUGUAGAGGAAAGUCCAUGCUCGCACGGUGCUGAGAUGCCCGUAGUGUUCGUGCCUAGCGAAUUCAUAAGCUAGGGCAGCUGAUUACAGCUGACGGCGGGGAAAGGACCUAAGUCUUCAUGAUAUGGUCUAAAUACCCUGAAAGUGCCACAGUGACGGAGUCUUGCAAGAAAUUGCAAGAGUGGAACGAGGUAAACCCCUCGAGCGAGAAACCCAAAUUUUGGUAGGGGCACCUUCUUGGAGGAAAUGAACGAAGAGAAGGACAGGAGAUUCUUUCUUCUGUAGAUAGAUGAUUGCCGCCUAAGUACGAGGUUUUAUACCGUUUGCAGUACGAAGGAACAAAACAUGGCUUACAGAA